CGUAGCAUGCAUACAAUGGACACUUUACUGUCCUAUGAGGCCACAGGAGAGGAGGCUUCAUAUUCGAAAAUGGGGGAAGGCGGCGACGUGGCUCUUUUCAAGUACCCAGGAUAUCCAACAAAGAUAUCGAGGAACUUCCCCUUGUGGUUGGUGAUGGCCUGCAGCUGAACAGAGUGGUACAGCUUCCUAUUAAAAUAGCAUGGGGCAUCACUUGCUGGUGGCUUGAUCCGGAUGUGGCAUCCGUCUAUUGCACCAGCUACCAUGUGGAAAACUGGAGACCCAGCCAGCUGGGCAAAACCUGCCCCCUUAGCCUCCAGGUCAUCCGGGGUCGGGAAAGCGAUCAGCCUCCUCAAAAUUCUGAUGACUGCCCUGCUGAUUCUGUGCACAAUGUCAUGCACCGUGGACUUUGGGAUGUCAAAGCCCAGUGACACCAGCCUGUACUAUGCUGCGUGGGCCAGCCAGUAGA